rnacentral:tRNA from 1 species
GGAGGUCUUAGCUUAAUAAAAGUGUCUGAUUUGCAGUCAGGAGAUGUGUGUUAGAAUAUUACAGGCCUU